rnacentral:rRNA from 1 species
AUACGUAGGGGGCAAGCGUUGUCCGGAAUGAUUGGGCGUAAAGGGCGCGUAGGCGGCUCGGUAAGUCUGGAGUGAAAUUCCUGCUUUCAAGGUGGGAACUGCUUUGGAUACUGUCGGGCUUGAGUGCAGGAGAGGUAAGUGGAAUUCCCGGUGUAGCGGUGAAAUGCGUAGAGAUCGGGAGGAACACCAGUGGCGAAGGCGACUUACUGGACUGUAACUGACGCUGAGGCGCGAAAGUGUGGGGAGCAAACAGGAUUAGAUACCCUGGUAGUCCACACUGUAAACGAUGAAUGCUAGGUGUAGGGGGUAUCGACCCCUUCUGUGCCGGAGUCAACACAAUAAGCAUUCCGCCUGGGGAGUACGGCCGCAAGGUUGAA